GUAACUGGAGGUCAUUAAAUUUUACAAUAAAGAAGUAUGUGCAGGAUUUAAUUUCACGACUAAAGAGGACUCCGAAGAAGAAUUAAAGUUCUGGUGGAUCAAAGAUCGAGGAAUGAUUUGGUUUUAACUGGUUUGCAUCUUAUGAACGAAGUACAUAAUAUGAUUUAAAUUGAUAAUUUAUAGUUACACCUAUUGAAAUUCUGUAUCUCAA
rnacentral:lncRNA from 1 species